GAUGAAGAACGUAGCGAAAUGCGAUAAGUAAUGUGAAUUGCAGAAUUCAGUGAAUCAUCGAAUCUUUGAACGCACCUUGCGCCCUUUGGCCAUUCCGAAGGGCAUGCCUGUUUGAGUAUCAUGAACACCUCAACUCUUCAUGGUUUUCCAUGAUGAGCUUGGACUUUGGGGGUCUUGCUGGCCUGUGGGUCGGCUCCUCUCAAAUGAAUCAGCUUGCCGGUUUUUGGUGGGCAUCACAGGUGUGAUAACUAUCUACGCUUGUGGUUUUCCACCAGGGUAACCUUCAGCAGUGGAGGUUCACUGGAGCUUACAAAUGUCUCUCCUCUGUGAGGACAGCCCUUUGAAUGUUUGAUCUCAAAUCUGGUAGGACUACCCGCUGAACUUAAGCAUAUCAAUAAGCGGAGGA
rnacentral:misc_RNA from 1 species